ACGUAGGGGGCAAGCGUUAUCCGGAUUUACUGGGUGUAAAGGGAGCGUAGACGGCGAAGCAAGUCUGGAGUGAAAACCCAGGGCUCAACCCUGGGACUGCUUUGGAAACUGUUUUGCUAGAGUGUCGGAGAGGUAAGUGGAAUUCCUAGUGUAGCGGUGAAAUGCGUAGAUAUUAGGAGGAACACCAGUGGCGAAGGCGGCUUACUGGACGAUAACUGACGUUGAGGCUCGAAAGCGUGGGGAGCAAACAG
rnacentral:rRNA from 1 species